CUGAUUAUCUUGACCAGCCUCAUCUGGGACCUCCACCCUUGCUGCUGCCACCCAUAGGCCUGGGAGCCUCAUUUAAGCCCUGGCCCUUACUUGGCUUAUAGUGUGUGUGUGUGUGACACACAAGUACAUGGUUGCUUUACUUCUUGGGUAACAUCAGAGCUGUGUUGGAACUACAGAUUUCUCUGAGGCCUGUUGGAUGAAAAAAAGAUCCAGUCAUGGGACCCACUCUCCCCUUAAUGUUUAGAUGCAGCGGGACUGUGACCCUUUUCUAAGAUUCCUCUCUCAACCUGCCCUAUUGUCUGGCUUCUACCUCACCUUCCUGGAGAUGUCUAUCCUUACUUGCUUCCUGACAAGGAGUUUUCCAAGACUUUGAAAUUGCUCUAUUACCUGUAAGAGGCCAAAAUAAAACUACCUUCCAGCAUCUGCAAGAACUCUCCUGGCAGUCUCUGAAAACCAAGGAAAUUCAGGGGCACCUGACUAGUUGUGAUGCACAAUUGCCUUGGGAGCUGGUUUAGGAGGCACAGUGCUCCUCUGACCUGCCAGACAACAGCAGUUACUAUGUGGCUUCUUUUGCUUUGCUUCUAGAGGAGACCAGCUGGUAUUUACAGCAUUUUCUCUAAGCAAGGCAUCAUGCCUGAGGUACACUCAGGUGAGAGUACUUCAGGAAAUUCCCACUGGGAUGUGAGAGUAAAGGAUUUUAUUAUUAAAAAACCCAAACCAACAACAAAACCCACAAAAUCACAAAAUCCUGGAGGAAAUACCAUUUCCUUUCAAGUGAUUCUGUGAGGUAGAGACUGCAAGAGAAGUAAGGAAAGCAAGAGUUUUACUAGUUCAAAUACAAUCCCAUUUUUUUCAGGAAGAUAUUAAAAUAUUGCAUUUCAACGCAAACCCUUUUGGGGAAGGGUGGAAGCUGAAGCCUGUUUAAACAUAUAGCUGGUUUUAGCUGGGGUAGAGUUCAUUUCCCAGCCCAAACAGUGAAAAAAAGUUAAGAGAAGGGAACAAAGCAACCUACUUCUUAUUCCAGGGAGAAAGGAAGACAAAUGGUACACAUCAAGAGUAGGAAAACUUAGAAGUUUUUCCUAAGUUUGUUUGUUGUUUUGGGUUUUUUAACCUAAGAGAUAUAAAACAGAUGAAACUGAGCUGCCUAGAAUUCUGGGGAAUUCUGGAGUAGCUGGGCUGGGAACACAAAAGAGUUUGUAAAUUGCCUGAAGAGACACAUUUGCUUCUCUGGGGUACAAGUGAGGGAGAAAAAGGGCCUUUCUCCCAAUUCUGCCCUUGGUGGUGGUGUGCUGAAGGCACAAUUAGUGCCACUCAUGGCACAGCUAAAGCUAUAGACUGUCUAUACAGCAAAAAGAAAAAGAAAUAUUAAAUGCUUUUUUAUUUUCUCUAAGGAUAUGGUGGAACUAAGCCAAAAAUGUGUAUUUGUACUGCUCUGCCUAAGGCAGCAUAAGCACCUUCUCUGGUGAAUCACUAGGCCCCAAAGCUUUUGCUCCUCCUAAAUGAAUGCCAAGCAUCCUGGGGAAGUGCUGCCAGGUACAAGGACAUAGUGACACUGCUAGGCUAAUGCAUGAUGGCUGAGGGUCUGCAGGAUUCUGCCCCAAACUCCCUAGGAUGCUGUUUGGAAUCUAAUCCUCUGUAUCUGACUUUUUACUGUGCCCCAAUUCACAUCAGUUUUUCUGCUUAAUGCUAUUUUCUGAUCUUCUAUAAAGCAUUUUCCAAAUAUUUUCCCGGUAUCUUCCAUGAAGCUGGAGAAGUUUCUCGUUGUUCAGGGGCCCACAUAAGCAGGAUAGUGGCAGGUAGGUGCACAGGAUAUCUUUGGAGAUCAAGGAAAACAGAAGAUUGCUGCCACCAUGCUUCUAAGGACAAUUACACACAGAAAAGCUUGGAAAUGAAUAUUCUGCAAGAUGGAGAUAAAGGGUGCAAGGGCAAACCCACUCAGAUACCUCUGAGGCUUCCUUUGCAGCUACAACGGCCAUGUUGACAUGCACUAGGUUAAGACCAGACUCAACUGUUCUGAUGUUAAUUGCCUGGCUGCCUUAAUUGGAUAUAGACUGCUGGGUCCUGAAAUCAGCUGUGUGACACAACCAACUGAUAUUCACCUCUUCACUGCUUUAUCUUGCCCUGUGCUGCAGGGUCAGUGCACAUGUUCCUGUGCAUUAGAGUUGUCCACAGAACUGGUGGAUUAUUUUGCAAGAGAAGCAAGUAACAUUUCACAUCUGAAGGGGACUGUUCAGACUUUAAUUUCAGGCAAAGCUACUCUGGCCUAAGUUCAGUUUUUACUCCAAGGCACUGAUAACCAUCAUCAGCAAGCAGACAAUAAUCAUUGAGUUGUUGGGCUACUCACUGGAAGUGCAGUGACUGCAUUUGGAUGCCCAGUGGCCUCUGGUCAUGUGACAUUCAUGCAAUGCAGUCACUGUCCCUCUAGACUUGCAGAGGGGCACAGAGGUCUCAUGCUCUAAGGACACACAGAAUACCACAAAGUAGUGUUUUGAGCAUGGCUGAGGAUGAGGUAACUUUCUAAGAUGAGCCUUGGAAUACCAGGCUUCCUUCUGCAGUCCAUGCUGUGGGCUGACAUUCAGAGGGGUGCAGGACUGCUUAGUCCAACUUCUGCCUUUCUUCUUUGAAUCUCUCCUAUCCAAGAUUAUGUAGGAUAGGAACACCAUGGGGGACAGAAGACACCCAUACUGCUUCCAAGCACUGCACUGCCCUGUGAACUGACUUAGGUGGAGCACCACAUCUGCAGCCAGGCCCAGAAAACCACCAGCAGCUGGGAGCAGCUGGUUGUGUGGUGCAGAUAGCAAGUGGUUCCUGGCUGGGACUGGUCAUGCACUUGCACCAAUGCACUGGCACACCCAGCCUGGCUCCACUGAGCCAAGGGAGUCACUGAGCAUGUGGAGCAAAUUCCUGCUAAUGAGACUGCAGAUCAUCUUGCAGUCAUCCCUGCUACGAGCUGCAAGGCACUGUCUCAGCCUCCUGAUCUCAACCUCUGUUAGGGUUUUUUGUUAAGAGAACACAGGCUCAAUUUCUCAUCCCCACUAUAACUUCAGUGAUGUAAAAAAAGACAUUAAAUACUCAGAAUCAAGGAGUGCUGGGCCUUUUCCCAAAAAAGUGGAGCAGGAUCCCUCGAUAGGGUAUGGUCCCACAUAAGCAGCUUUGCUGUCAGGUUCCCUCACUGGAAGGAAUGCUAUGAGGAUAAGCAUCUUCCUGCUGCUGCACACCCCACAGCUACCUUGUGGCCAUCAGCCAUGCUCAGCAGGGAUGCAGGCAUGGGGACAGCAGGCUGGCUACUGACAAAGGCUUCCUGGACAGCUGUGUUGAAGUAGCACUGCUGGAAGACUGCCACUCUCCUCUUCUUGCAGGACAGUUCCCAUCGGUGAGGACCAUCCCUGUGUGCUGGGCCUAGGAGUAGGCUCAUCUGUGCCAAAUGAUCACUGAUCUGUCCUCACAGUCAGUACAUCAAACAGGAAGGCAGCUAGGAGACCUGGACAAUUGCAUACAGACAUGCAGUACUAUAGGCUAGUGUUUACCUUCAUUUACAUGGAUGUAAACAACCCACUCGGAAGCAACACCUGAUUUUUGGCUACUGCUGGUGUGAGGACGACACUGAAUGGGGUACAGAGCUACCAGGAGUGAAAUCAGCCCACCCCUCUUCAAGCCAUUUGCCGCAACACGAGGCAGGAUGAAUCAAUAAUAUGUAUCGAGCUGGGAAAGUUAAUCUGCAUCCAGAGCAUCAUAACAAAUUAAAAGGAAAUAAAAUCAGUACAAUUCCACUGGCUCUCAUUACUAUCACAGUGGAGAGUAAUUAAAAUCUAUGGGGCGAAUUCAACGCUGUAGGAACUCUCAUGAAGCCAAAGGCACUGUACAAGGGCAUUGCUUUUUCCAGAUGCUAUGUAUUUCCAACAGCAGCAGAAAUGGCAAAAUGGGCAGAGAGGAUAGGACAGGGUAAGAGCAGAACCUCCUUAGGAGCCAGGCAUUCUCCUGCUUGCUCUUCCUUAUGUAGUCAUGCUGCAUGCCUGCUGCUUUGGUGCUUCAUGUGCUUUCAAAAGGUCCAGGCAUUUGUAUGUGAGGCUCCCACUCAAGGGCUUCCCAAGCCAAUACGCACAACUGCCAUUCAUCAGCUCUGGCUGUCACCUCAUCCUGCCUGUUCCCUGCUUCCCUGUAUUACCUGCUGCCUUUGUGUGAACUCCUUUCUUCUCUGAACACCUAAGCACAGCCGCUCAUGAUACACACUCUCUUAAGUGCUAAAGAAAUGCAUUUCCUGCCACAGAGCACCUUCUGCUAUCCUGUUGCCUGAUAAGACUCUCAACCCAUCUUUCUGUGCUUUCCUAUAAACGCCUUAUCUUUUGACCCACACACAUCCCUGAUGAAGAAGCUGAAGGAGGACUACCACCUGUCCCAAAACCACAGUCACUUACACUCACAUUACAGCUCUGCUCCAGUCCUGUGUUACAGGACAGCUGAAGCUGUGCUAUAAGGCAGGAAUUCAACUUGAAGCAUCAUUCACUGCCCAAACUUUGAUUUCUUGACCUUGUGCAAGGCCCUGCUGCCCCACAGCCAAGGCACUGUCAUGACUCAGUUAAGCACCUGAUUCCCAUUGAGUGGAAGGAGAUGUGUGCAGCACAGGAAAAACAUUCCUCAUCACUGCAUACAGCAUUGUGUCUGGUGAGGCAGCAGUGCAGCUACCACACUGGCACCUAGAGAGGCAACUGAUGGUGACAGCCAGGGGCACAGGGCUGCAAAUGCAAAGCUUGGGUGAGUGGGUUCUGUCAGUCUUUAUAGGAGGUGAGAUACAGGUAGAAGAAUGUCUUUUAGGCAAAG